AGACGUCUACAUUAGAUACCCCUGUAGUCCCAGCCGUAAACUAUGCGCGUUAGGUGUAUCGGUGACCACGAGUUACCGAGGUGCCGAAGGGAAACCGUGAAACGUGCCGCCCGGGAAGUACGGUCGCAAGGCUGAAACUUAAAGGAAUUGGCGGGGAGCACCACAACAGGUGGAGCCUGCGGUUUAAUUGGACUCAACGCCGGGAAGCUCACCGGAUAGGACAGCAGAAUGAUUGCCGGGCUGAAGACCCUGCAUGACUAGCUG
rnacentral:rRNA from 1 species